UUGAUGGCACAGACGCUAUAAUGGCACAGAUACAAAGAUGAGUCCUUUAUCUAUCUCUAUGGUGUAGACACAGCGCCAUUUCGUGAUAACUGUUUCAGUUCAAGCCAAGGUAUGUUACAGUAGUAGCAGCCUACUGAAUUGGAAACGGAUCAUAUAAGACACCCCAAGUAAGACAACGUCGAAAUUGUACUCCUUUUUAAAUUAUUAAACUCCUGAAACAGGCAGGAAGGCAGACCACGCCCGUCCAGGGCACAGGCAAUAUGGACCAGUCUCUCACCUCCAGUAGUAUGAUGUCCGGCAACGUGACCAACAAGACGGACCCUCGCUCGCUCCAUUCCCGGGUUUUCAUCGGGAACCUCAACACACUCCUGGUCACCAAGGCAGAUGUAGAGGCCAUCUUCAGCAAGUACGGCAAGAUCGUGGGCUGCUCCGUCCACAAGGGGUUCGCGUUCGUCCAGUACGCCAACGAGAGGAACGCCCGGGCCGCUGUAGGCGGCGAGGACGGGAGGAUGAUUGUAGGACAGGUGCUAGACAUUAACCUCGCUUGUGAACCGAAGCCUCAGAGAUCGAAGACGGUUAAGCGCUCCGCAGGAGACAUAUACAGUUCUUCAUUUGAUUUGGACUAUGACUUCCAGAGAGAUUACUAUGACAGGAUGUACUCGUACCAUUCCCGUGUGCCCCCUCCGCCUCCUCCCCUGUCCCGGCCAGUGAUCCCCUCCAAACAGCCCCGGGUCAGUUUGAGUGGAGGUGGAGGUGGAGGGGGCAGCCGACGCACCAAGACUAGCUUCUCAUCUUCCACCUCCAGGAGCAGCCAGAGCAGGACCUCGACCUCACGCACCAUGAAAGCAGACGACCUGCAGACCAUCAAGAGAGAGCUGACCCAGAUCAAACACAAGGUGGACUACCUGCUGGAGAGUCUGGAACGCAUGGAGAAGGACCACAGCAAGAAGUCAGACAUGAAGAGUAGUGGGAAGCCGGAGCCCGGGGAGGUGUCUCCUCUCCUCAACUGCGGAGGAAAGGAGGAAAGCCUGAAGAGGGAGAGAGAGAACCAGUCUCUCAACGACUCAGAAGAGGAGGGAGACCUACUGGAGGAACAGGAGGGAUCUUUACAGCACUUUCAGCUGCUACAUGAGAAAUGGAACAGCUAUUGCCAAUGGAUAUGAUCACAACUCCAGCGAUGGUGAUGACAUGGUGAGCACUGUGUCCUUGGAGGUCGGGAAUCAGGUCUGGGUGACUCAUCGAUCACACUCACAUUGGGGAUGAGGAACUGAUCACCACCUUCAAUGGCUUUCUGCUCUUCCCCAUGCGAGGAGAGAGCAGGGCCCGCAUUCAUAAAGUGUCUCAGAGUAGGAGUGCUGAUCUAGGAUCUGUUUUCCUUUUUAGAUCAUAAUGAAUCAGGGCCCUGGUGUGUAGAAGGCAAUACAGUGUAGAGAACCUUACAUAUGUGUCUGUACAGCCAAUGUUAGAAAUGUCAGCUUUGCAUAAUACAUUACAGCUAACAAAUAAUUUCCAUGCAAUAUUAAAUCUGUGCACUGUUACUAUGAAAUACAUUAUUGUGGAGGAGGGAAUGCUUAUUUUGAUCAAAAUGACAGAGAAGAUGACACGAAAAAAGUACAUGUGUUUGUGUUGUAUCCGUUGCCAGUGUUUAUGUUGACUUUCUUGUGACUAAGGUGAUAGUGGUGCCAUGGAGUCGAAGAGUUCCACCAUCAAGUCCAACUGGAAAAUAUACCUUUGGUUGAUCUAAGGGUAUAACAGACAAAAACAGGAACUGAAACAAGCGGGUCCACAUGUACCUUUGCAUCUGUAAUGAAAUGAACAGCAGAGGUUGUAGAUGUCAUCCCGCUGUUUAUCCUUGAAUCUACAUAAAUAUAAAGGUAGGCCUACAUAUAAGGACGUCCAACAUCAAUCUCUUUCUCUAUACAAUAGCCAUUGACCACGUUUGAUAAAAUAACUACAUUAUAAUUUAUAGCUAAUCACAGAUUAAACACAUUUUCCCUGAGGGAUCCUUGGAAUACAUUGAGGGCGUAAUACAAUACAAUGUAAUAUUAUUAAUCAACAAUUUAUGUUCUUAACCCUGGGAAACAUGGGCCUGGGAGUCUCACAGGGAUAUUGGUAUGCACAGUUGAUAGAAGAAUUUAAAUGUAAUGACUAAAGUAUUACAUCCCGGAACCAUUGAUAACUGUGUGAAAUGUAUUAUAAUAAUAAGACUAUAAUCUAGUAAUGUGUGUGCGUAGGACAAAUUAAGAUUAUGACAUGGUGUUACUAUUUAGCAAUAUGAGUAGGAGUUAGGUCAGACAACAAAGGAGACGGAGAGCUGUCGACAGACAACUUUUGACAACUGUGAAACCAAUAAUAGGAAAUAGGCCUCCCAACUCAGGGAGGGGAGAAACCGUUAGGCUUGGAGAAGAUUAUGAAACAUGUUGCAGAAUUGACAUAACAAAUAUGUGUACAGUGGAAAAAUACAGCCCGCCUAAAGCGGGGUGGGAUUCUUGUCUGACGUAUGUGUAUAAAAGAUGGACUCUGGACUUGAGAGGGCAGAGCGCUCUCUGAAUAAAGCCUGAUAAUUGUAAACUG